UAGGGAUUAAGAGAAAAGAAAAGUUUGCGCACAACUGGAAGAAAAAAAAAAAACAAGCUGCUGCCUCUGCUUUCCAGUAGACGAAUGAAGAAGAGAAAAACAAUAAAGUUAAAAGCUUUGAUUCGACACUAAGGAGAGAAGCAGAAGAAGAGAAUUCAGGUGGCAUUGGAGAGGAUUCCAUUAACUAGAGAGCGCGAAUUGAUAGUAUCUGGUGAGCCCCGCAUUGCUUCGCGUGGCAAGAAGUUAUUAAGUUGUUUUGGUUCCUUUUCUCUUAAAAACUCUUAGAGUCGUUCCAUUUGUCCUUUCUCUAGUAGAGUCAUGAUUAUUCAUUCGUAUUUGGAGAUGAAUUGGUAUUACUACGUAGUGGUUGAUGUAUUGAUGGAUGUGGUGCCUUGUUUUAGUGUUGUUGUUAGUGUGGUUGAUUUCUGAGACAGGAAAGAAAAUUUAGGAUAGGCCCAAAAAUAGAAGAAACUUUGCCCGAUUUUCUAUAGAAUUCUGGUAAGGCUUGCUUUGGGAUUCUCCCUUUUAGCGUCGGUUACGAUCCUAAAUUGGGGCAUGACAAAGUUGGUAUCAUAACUUAGGUUAUUCUUGUGACUUAUGGAGCACACGUUGUUAGUAGAAUCUCAAUUAUGGUUAUGUUGCCGGCCAUUCCUAUAAUCGUGAUUCUGCGAGGACGUGUGUUACGUUUAAGACAACUAGAUGAAUCUAACAUCAUUUGAUUUGUUAACCAGAUGACUCGAACUUGAUUAUCUAAUGACAGAGCUACGACAAGUGUUCCUUAGACACCUAAAGUUACCUCGGCUAGGCAGCCAACUUCCUCGGCUAGGGGAAGGGGCGGAUCACGCAGAAUAGGUCGAGGUAGGGGUCGUAGUGCCACCACAGGAAAUCGCACUACCACUACUAGAAUUUCAAGAAAAGUCACUCUUGAAAUGAGUGCUAGUGUACCUCCACCAUUACAUGAGAAUGCUACUACUGAAGCACUCAACUCCAUGUAGAGGGUCAUCAUGGGUUUGGUCGAUAGAAUGGACAGACAGGAUAGGGUUGGUUAGGCACAACUUCAGGCACCUGAUCAGACACAGGCACCACUUCAGGCUCUUGCAUGGACUUACACUUUUGGAAAUAAAGAAGUAUCCUUGCAAGAGUUCUUGAAGUUGAAAUCACCAAGGUUCACAGGUUCUGAUAGUUCAGUUGAUCCUCAAGAUUUCCUAAAUAGGACAUUCAAGGCGUUACGGGCGCUAGGAUAUUCUAGUGAGAGAGCUGUGGGUCUUGUGACUUACUAACUUGAGGACAUGGCUAAUACAUGGUAUGAGAUCGUAUUGCUAGGUCGACCUGCUGGAGCAACACCACUAAAGUUGGAUGAGUUCACUAAGUUACUCAUGGAUUCUUUUCUUCUUGACAGUCUGAUGCAAAAAUAUGCAACUCAGGUUGAGAGGUUGGUACAGAUUUCGGAUAUGGAUGUGUCAACCUAUAACACCAAAUUCUGCAAACUGAUUAGAUAUGUCCCUUACUUAGUACCCAAUGAAGCAACUAGAGUUCAGAGGUUCAUGAGUGGAUUGGUUAGUCAUUUAUUCAAUGAAGUAGCCCUAAAUAUGAGUACGUUGACCUACUCGGGUGUAGUUGAACUUGCUAGAAAGAUUGAAAACAAGGGUCGUGAAAAGCGAGAAGCCUUUGAUGCACGUAAGAAGGCCAAGAUAGGGGUUUUUUUCGGCGGCAAUCGUAGUACAAGUCACAAAACAGGUUAUCAGAAAAGACAACAACAAGGCUCUCAGGAAGGAAUUGAUACAGUUUCACAGUCCACAUACCGGCCAAAUCAUAAAUAGGGUACUCAAGAACCACCAUCAUCACAAGGACAUCGUAAUUUUAGGAAAUUGUAUGCCACUGCUCCAUCUUGUCCUACCUGUGGCAGAUCACAUGUAGCCUAGUGUCGUGUUUUAACAUGAGGGUGUUUUCGGUCAGUUGGGGCAUCAUCUUAGAGAUUGUCCUCUACCUCCGAAAAAUUCCACCCAGACUCCUGCUCAGAUAGCUGCGCCUACUCAGACUACUCGAAAUGCUUCAGGAAAUAGGGUUCAAGGUGCUGGAGAUUGUGUUGCUGGAAAUCAAGGAUAGGGAAAUGGUGGUAGAGGCCAGGCAAGAGUUUUUGCACUCACUAGACAGGAUGCUCAGGCUUCAAAUGCAGUAGUUACAGAGAAUUCAGGUGGCAUUGUCGAGGAUUCCAUUAACUAGAGAGCGCAAAUUUAUAGUAUCUAGUGAGCCCCGCAUUGGUUCGCGUGGCAAGAAGAUAUUGAGUUAUUUUGGUUCUUUUUCUUUUAAAAACUCUUAGAGUCGCUCCAUUUGUCCUUUCUCUAGUAGAGUCAUGAUUAUUCAUUCGUAUUAUAGUCAUGUGACUAGUGUUAAACUUAUUUUUCGUAUUUGGAGAUGAAUUGGUAUUACUGCGUAGCGGUUGGUUUAUUGAUAUAUGUGGUGCCUUGUUUUAAUGUUGUUGUUAGUUGUUGAUUUCUGAGACAGGAAAAAAUUUCAGGAUAGGCCCAAAAACAAAAGAAACUUUGUCCGAUUUUCUGUAGAAUUCUGGUAAGGCUUGCUUUGGGAUUCUCUCCCUUAGCGCCGGUCACGAUCCUAAAUUGGAGCGUGACAUGAUGGUAUCAUGGAAAUGUUGCUGAAGGAUUGAAGUAGACAUCAAUGAUAGCAUGACAAUACAUAUAUAUAUUGCGGUGGUAUCAUUACGAAUUGAAGCAAGCUUUAAUGAUACCAUGUUAGUAUAUAUUGAUAUUGUGAUGGUAUCAUGAAGGUCUCCUGCUUUGGAGAGAAGGAAGGAAAGUGGCGAGUUGCAUGCUUUGGGGGAAUGAAUUAUAAAGAGAUAUUUGUUUGUAAUUUUUUUUUAUGGGCAUAAAUUUAAUUUUCUCAAAAAUUAAUUAUAUAUGAA